CAGCAGCCGCGGUAAAACGAAGGGGGCUAGCGUUGUUCGGAUUUACUGGGCGUAAAGCGCACGUAGGCGGAUCGAUCAGUCAGGGGUGAAAUCCCAGAGCUCAACUCUGGAACUGCCUUUGAUACUGUCGAUCUGGAGUAUGGAAGAGGUGAGUGGAAUUCCGAGUGUAGAGGUGAAAUUCGUAGAUAUUCGGAGGAACACCAGUGGCGAAGGCGGCUCACUGGUCCAUUACUGACGCUGAGGUGCGAAAGCGUGGGGAGCAAACAGGAUUAGAUACCCCUGUAGUCCCUGUCUCUUAUAC
rnacentral:rRNA from 1 species